AAUUUAUGGAAAAACAAAAGAAGAACAUAAUGAGGCUCUUAAAAAAGUUUACAAAUUAUGUAGUAUUAUUUAUUUUUAGGUGCUAUCAAAGGUGGAUACCAAAGCUCAGCUGAUUUGUGGAAAUCCGAUGGACUUGGAGCAGAGUUAUUACAAUGUGCAAUGUUCAAAAAACACGUUCAAUUUUUAUUGAGAUGUAUCCGAUUCGACGAUGUCCGUAGUAGAAAUGAGAGAAUUAAGUUAGAUAAAAUCACACACAUCCAGUGGGUAUUUGAACAUUUUGUUAAUAAUUUAAAAAAGCAUAUUCUAUUUCUAAGUACGUAACAAUUGACGAAAAAUCACAAAUAUUUUGAGGUUAUUGUAGUUUUAAAAUGUACAUUCCUAACAAAUCAGUUGAAUGUGGCAUUCAAAUUUUUAC